rnacentral:misc_RNA from 1 species
UCCCCGUUAACCGGGGCAGUCCCCCUAGAGUUCCCGGCUUGACCCGUUGGCAACUAGGGGCGAGGGUUGCGCUCGUUGCGGGACUUAACCCAACAUCUCACGACACGAGCUGUCGACAGCCAUGCAGCACCUGUGUCGGCUCCCCUUGCGGGGUCGGGCCCCUUUCGGUUUCCUACCACCGACAUGUCAAACCCAGGUAAGGUUUUUCGCGUUGCAUCGAAUUAAUCCACAUAAUCCACCGCUUGUGCGGGUCCCCGUCAAUUCCUUUGAGUUUUAACCUUGCGGCCGUACUCCCCAGGCGGAAUGCUUACUCCGUUAGGUGCGCCACCGAAGGGCAAGCCCCCCGACGGCUGGCAUUCAUCGUUUACGGCGUGGACUAC